rnacentral:rRNA from 1 species
UACACUCCUACGGGAGGCAGCAGUGGGGAAUAUUGGACAAUGGGCGCAAGCCUGAUCCAGCCAUGCCGCGUGAGUGAUGAAGGCCCUAGGGUUGUAAAGCUCUUUCACCGGUGAAGAUAAUGACGGUAACCGGAGAAGAAGCCCCGGCUAACUUCGUGCCAGCAGCCGCGGUAAUACGAAGGGGGCUAGCGUUGUUCGGAUUUACUGGGCGUAAAGCGCACGUAGGCGGACUAUUAAGUCAGGGGUGAAAUCCCGGGGCUCAACCCCGGAACUGCCUUUGAUACUGGUAGUCUUGAGUUCGAGAGAGGUGAGUGGAAUUCCGAGUGUAGAGGUGAAAUUCGUAGAUAUUCGGAGGAACACCAGUGGCGAAGGCGGCUCACUGGCUCGAUACUGACGCUGAGGUGCGAAAGCGUGGGGAGCAAACAGGAUUAGAAACCCCAGUAGUCCC